ensembl:snoRNA
UGUACCAGUGAUGAUGACCUGUGGCGGAGGAGUCACGGACAAUGAAAAUAUGUGGCUGAAACCCGGAGGUCUAC